rnacentral:RNase_P_RNA from 1 species
AUGCCAGACGAUCGCAGGCGCUUGUCGCUUGAGGAAAGUCCGAGCACCACAGGGCAGGAUGCCGGUUAACUGCCGGCGGAGGCGACUUCAGGGAGAGUGCAACAGAGAUAUACCGCGCGCCGUUAAAGCGCGUAAGGGUGGAAAGGCGAGGUAAGAGCUCACCGACGACUUGGCAACUUGUUCGUCCUGUAAACCCCAUCCGGUGCAAGAUUGAUAGGGAGACGUUUGCGGCGGCCCGUCGUGUCUCCGGGUAAUCGCUAGAGCCUGCUGGCAACCGCAGGCCCAGAUAGAUGAUCGUCCAAUACAGAACUCGGCUUACAGACA